AUCAGCACAUGAGAGCUUGCC
rnacentral:siRNA from 1 species